AGAGUUUGAUCCUGGCUCAGAACGAACGCUGGCGGCAUGCCUAACACAUGCAAGUCGAACGAAGCCUUCGGGCUUAGUGGCGCACGGGUGCGUAACGCGUGGGAAUCUGCCCUUGGGUUCGGAAUAACACAGAGAAAUUUGUGCUAAUACCGGAUGAUGUCUUCGGACCAAAGAUUUAUCGCCCAAGGAUGAGCCCGCGU
rnacentral:rRNA from 1 species